rnacentral:rRNA from 1 species
UCUCAAUGGUUUGGUGGCGAUAGCGAAGAGGUCACACCCGUUCCCAUGCCGAACACGGAAGUUAAGCUCUUCAGCGCCGAUGGUAGUCGGGGGUUUCCCCCUGUGAGAGUAGGACGCCGCCAAGCU